AGCACCGGCUAACUCCGUGCCAGCAGCCGCGGUAAUACGGAGGGUGCAAGCGUUAAUCGGAAUUACUGGGCGUAAAGCGCGCGUAGGUGGCUUGAUAAGCCGGUUGUGAAAGCCCCGGGCUCAACCUGGGAACGGCAUCCGGAACUGUCAGGCUAGAGUGCAGGAGAGGAAGGUAGAAUUCCCGGUGUAGCGGUGAAAUGCGUAGAGAUCGGGAGGAAUACCAGUGGCGAAGGCGGCCUUCUGGACUGACACUGACACUGAGGUGCGAAAGCGUGGGUAGCAAACAGGAUUAGAUACCCUGGUAGUCCACGCCGUAAACGAUGUCGACCAGCCGUUGGGUGCCUAGAGCACUUUGUGGCGAAGUUAACGCGAUAAGUCGACCGCCUGGGGAGUACGGCCGCAAGGUUAAAACUCAAAGGAAUUGACGG
rnacentral:rRNA from 1 species